rnacentral:rRNA from 1 species
AAUCCAUAGGUUAAUGAGGCGAACCGGGGGAACUGAAACAUCUAAGUACCCCGAGGAAAAGAAAUCAACCGAGAUUCCCCCAGUAGCGGCGAGCGAACGGGGAGGAGCCCAGAGCCUGAAUCAGCAUGUGUGUUAGUGGAAGCGUCUGGAAAGGCGCGCGAUACAGGGUGACAGCCCCGUACACAAAAGCGCAUGUGCUGUGAGCUCGAUGAGUAGGGCGGGACACGUGGUAUCCUGUCUGAAUAUGGGGGGACCAUCCUCCAAGGCUAAAUACU